AACCCAUGAUUUGGGCAUAUGCUCAACAUCAUUUCAAAUCUCUCUCAUGUCUCACAGAAGGCUUCACCUGCUCCUUAUCUGAACAUAGAAAUCUAAUACUUUGAUU
rnacentral:snoRNA from 1 species